rnacentral:rRNA from 1 species
GGAUGAACGCUGGCGGCGUGCCUAAUACAUGCAAGUCGAGCGAACAGAUAAGGAGCUUGCUCCUUUGACGUUAGCGGCGGACGGGUGAGUAACACGUGGGUAACCUACCUAUAAGACUGGGAUAACUUCGGGAAACCGGAGCUAAUACCGGAUAACAUUUGGAACCGCAUGGUUCUAAAGUGAAAGAUGGUUUUGCUAUCACUUAUAGAUGGACCCGCGCCGUAUUAGCUAGUUGGUAAGGUAACGGCUUACCAAGGCAACGAUACGUAGCCGACCUGAGAGGGUGAUCGGCCACACUGGAACUGAGACACGGUCCAGACUCCUACGGGAGGCAGCAGUAGGGAAUCUUCCGCAAUGGGCGAAAGCCUGACGGAGCAACGCCGCGUGAGUGAUGAAGGGUUUCGGCUCGUAAAACUCUGUUAUUAGGGAAGAACAAACGUGUAAGUAACUGUGCACGUCUUGACGGUACCUAAUCAGAAAGCCACGGCUAACUACGUG